GAAUAUUGGACAAUGGGGGGAACCCUGAUCCAGCCAUGCCGCGAGUGUGAGCAAGGCCUGUUGGUUGUAAAGCACUUUAAGCGAGGAGGAGGCUACUCUAGUUAAUACCUAGAGAUAGUGGACGUUCCUCGCAGAAGAAGCACCGGCUAACGCUGUGCAAGCGGCCGCGGUAAUACAGAGGGUGCAAGCGUUAAUCGGAGUUACUGGGCGUAAAGCGCGCGUAGGUGGCCAAUUAAGUCAAAUGUGAAAUCCCCGAGCUUAACUUGGGAAUUGCAUUCGAUACUGGUUGGCUAGAGUAUGGGAGAGGAUGGUAGAAUUCCAGGUGUAGCGGUGAAAUGCGUAGAGAUCUGGAGGAAUACCGAUGGCGAAGGCAGCCAUCUGGCCUAAUACUGACACUGAGGUGCGAAAGCAUGGGGAGCAAACA
rnacentral:rRNA from 1 species